rnacentral:rRNA from 1 species
CGUCUUAGCAUGCAGUCGAGCGGCAAGCGCCAGCAAUGGUGCCUAGAGCGGCGGACUGGUGAGUAACGCGUGGGCGACCUACCCAUAGAUUGGGGAUAGCCAUUAGAAAUAGUGGGUAAUACCGAAUGUGGCUGCCGCGCUGCGGCGCGGCAGAGAAAGGGGCUUUGGCCCCGUCUGUGGAUGGACCCGCGUCCCAUUAGCUUGUUGGCAGGGUAAAGGCCUACCAAGGCGAUGAUGGGUAGCCGGCCUGAGAGGGUGAACGGCCACACUGGGACUGAGAUACGGCCCAGACUCCUACGGGAGGCAGCAGCUAAGAAUAUUCCGCAAUGGACGAAAGUCUGACGGAGCGACGCCGCGUGGAUGACGAAGGCCGAAAGGUUGUAAAGUCCUUUUGCCGGAGAAGAAUAAACUUGGGAGGGAAUGCCCGAGGGAUGACGUUAUCCGGUGAAUAAGCCCCGGCUAAUUACGUGCCAGCAGCCGCGGUAACACGUAAGGGGCGAGCGUUGUUCGGAAUUAUUGGGCGUAAAGGGCGCGUAGGCGGCUGCGUAAGUCUGGCGUGAAAGGCGUGGGCUCAACCCAUGGACUGCGCUGGAAACUGCGCGGCUGGAGUCAUGGAGGGGGAGUUGGAAUUCCGCGUGUAGGGGUGAAAUCUGUAGAUAUGCGGAAGAACACCGGUGGCGAAGGCGAACUUCUAGCCAAUGACUGACGCUGAGGCGCGAAAGUGCGGGGAGCAAACAGGAUUAGAUACCCUGGUAGUCCGCACUAUAAACGAUGUGCACUAUGUGUUGGGCCGAGCGGGUUCAGUGCCGAAGCGAACGUGAUAAGUGCACCGCCUGGGGAGUAUGCUCGCAAGGGUGAACUCAAAGGAAUUGACGGGGCCCGCACAAGCGGUGGAGCAUGUGGUUUAAUUCGAUGAUACGCGAGGAACUUACCUGGGUUUGACAUGGAGGCGGAG